rnacentral:rRNA from 1 species
AUACGUAGGGGGCGAGCGUUGUCCGGAAUGAUUGGGCGUAAAGGGCGCGUAGGCGGCCCGGUAAGUCUGGAGUGAAAGUCCUGCUUUUAAGGUGGGAAUUGCUUUGGUUACUGUCGGGCUUGAGUGCAGGAGAGGUAAGUGGAAUUCCCAGUGUAGCGGUGAAAUGCGUAGAGAUUGGGAGGAACACCAGUGGCGAAGGCGACUUACUGGACUGUAACUGACGCUGAGGCGCGAAAGUGUGGGGAGCAAACAGGAUUAGAUACCCUGGUAGUCCACACUGUAAACGAUGAAUGCUAGGUGUAGGGGGUAUCGACCCCUUCUGUGCCGCAGUUAACACAAUAAGCAUUCCGCCUGGGGAGUACGGCCGCAAGGUUGAAACUCAAAGGAAUUGACGGGG